rnacentral:rRNA from 1 species
UGGGGAAUUUUGGACAAUGGGCGAAAGCCUGAUCCAGCCAUUCCGCGUGCAGGAUGAAGGCCUUCGGGUUGUAAACUGCUUUUGUACGGAACGAAAAGCCUUCUUCUAAUACAGGAGGGUCAUGACGGUACCGUAAGAAUAAGCACCGGCUAACUACGUGCCAGCAGCCGCGGUAAUACGUAGGGUGCAAGCGUUAAUCGGAAUUACUGGGCGUAAAGCGUGCGCAGGCGGUUAUGUAAGACAGAUGUGAAAUCCCCGGGCUCAACCUGGGAACUGCAUUUGUGACUGCAUAGCUAGAGUACGGUAGAGGGGGAUGGAAUUCCGCGUGUAGCAGUGAAAUGCGUAGAUAUGCGGAGGAACACCGAUGGCGAAGGCAAUCCCCUGGACCUGUACUGACGCUCAUGCACGAAAGCGUGGGGAGCAAACA